CCUCGGCGUUUCCCCGCGCGAUGCGUCUGAUCCAGCUACCUCUGCGUGUCUCCUGGUGGGUCCACGUGUCUGCAUCUCCCUCCGGCCAUCGGCUUUACUCGUCGCCGCCCAAGACCAAGCUAAGCUGCUGAGUGAUGAGAAGAUAGCACAAUGGCGAGUCCACCUUCCAUUGCCAGCGAAUAUGAUCCCAAGAAUGAUCCAGCAAGGAAACCACAAAAGUCAAAGGAUCUGGGGUGGAAGUAUGGCUACUGGCCAAACCUUCAGAACAAAGAUGAGGUUAAAUGCACAUUAUGUGGUACAUCAGUUCGUGGAGGGAUAAAAAUGUUGAAGAAACAUUUGGCAGGUGGUUGUGGAGAUGCAGCGCUUUGUGAGAGUAAAGAGUUGACCACUGAAAUUAGGAAGGAGAUGAGUGCUUACUUGGAAGCAAACAAGAGAAAAAGGCCAUUAUUCUUAGAAGAAGAUGAUGAUGGAGAAUCAGAAGUGGUGGAGGUGACAACUGAACAGGCUUCUGAAAAUCGAUCCCAAGCCCUCAAGGUGCAGCCUAGUUCUGGAACAGCAGCCAAAAGGAGGCAAGCAACCUUACCAUUCAAGGAUGUUGGCAACAACAACAAGACUAAAGCAGCUAACACUAUGUCUAUUGCUGAGAUGGUUAGAGAAACACCAGAAGAGAUGGUAGAUGAGAGACUUGCAGGGUCUUAUCAGCCCACAAUUCAGUCCAAGGUAAAAAAAGCAAGGAGGAAAAGGACUAUGUGGAUAUGCAGUGGGCUUUGUUUUUCUAUGAGUGUGGCGUACCUUUUAAUGCAGCUGCUGCAGGACAAUUUCAGGUUGCAGUUGAGGCCAUGGCACGAUAUGGUUCAGGUUACAUGCCUCCAACACCUCAUCAACUUUGGGAGUCAUUGCUUCAAAGGCUAUGAAGUUAACAAGUAACAUGAGGGAGGAAUAUGAGAGGGCAUGGAAAUACUAUGGCUGCACACUCAUGUCGGAUGGAUGGUCUGACAGGAGGGGACGCCACUUGAUUAACUUCCUAGUGAACAGCCCGGAGGGGACCUACUUCUUGGAGUCCGUUAAUGCAUCAAGUGAAGUGCAUAGUGCAAACAUGCUUGCUGAUUUGCUGGACAAAAAAAAUUGAGAUUGGGAAAGACAAGGUUGUUCAAGUCGUCACCGAUAAUGGGGCCAACUUCAAGGCAGCGGGGAAGCUUUUAAUGGAGAGGAUUCCUACAAUAUUUUGGAGUCCAUGUGUUGCACACUGCUUGGAUCUCAUGUUGGAAGACAUAGGGAACUUGAAGGAGUUCAAGAAACCUAUUACGCGGGCAAGGCGUGUGACAACUUUUAUCUAUCAGCACCUACCUGAUAUAUGAUUUGCAUUUGUUGUUCUAGUUGAUUGGUGGCGUUCGUAUGGAGGUCGUGCUAUUGAGCUACAGAGGUUUACUAGCUGUGUGGUUAGUCUUUGUGCUUCAUCAUCUGGUUGUGAGAGGAAUUGGUGCACCUUUGAAUUUAUUCACACAAAGAAAAGGAACCGGUUGCUGCAUAAGAGGUUGAAUUCAAUUGUCUUUGUUUCCUACAAAAGGAAGAUGAAAUCUAGAUUCCAAAAAUUACGUUUGAAUAGGAAUAAGAAUGAAAAAGACAAGGCAGCCUUUGAUCCUUUGGUUAUUGAGUUGUUUGAUUGGGACAAUGAAUGGGCUGACUCACUGCAUACGGCCCCUCAAGGUGCCCGUGGGUGAGUGUGACCUUACUUGGAAUCUUGUUGAUGAAGCCGUUGGAGCAUCUCAAUCACUUCAUGGUAGAUGUUUUCCAAGAGCAACCCACAGGAACCGUGCUAGAAAUUCUACAAUAGAAGUGGUUCAGGAAGAGUUGGGUUCGGGAAAUGAAGAGGAAGAAUAUCAAGAUCCAUAUGAUGAUGCAGAUGUGACAGAUUGUGAGGAAGAUCCCAAUGGUGGUGGUGGUGGAGAAGCCACAGAUGCAUCCAAUAUUCUUGGAGAGUUUGAUGAUGGUUAUUAACAAAUGAAAGAUUCAGAUUUCCUUUUGCUAAUUUAUAUAUGUUGAGUGCUAGCAGCAGCACUAAUCAAGUUAUGCCAUUAGGGCUACUAAUGUUAUGCUAUUAGACUAUUCUACUACACAACUACUAUAUGUAGUGCGCAAGUACUCUAGUAACACUACUUAUGCUUAUUAUGGUCUAGAUGCUAAUGGCAAUACUAUGCUUGGAUUUACUUCAGAA